rnacentral:rRNA from 1 species
GACGAACGCUGGCGGCGUGCCUAAUACAUGCAAGUCGAACGCAGUGGGGACGGGUUCGUAACACGUGGGUAACCUCCCAUCAGAGGGGAUAACACUUGGAAACAGGUGCUAAACCGCUACUGGUGGAGGUACCCGCGGUGCAUUAGCUAGUUGGUGAGGUAACGGCUCACCAAGGCGACGAUGCAUAGCCGAGCUGAGAGUGUGAUCGGCCACACUGGGACUGAGACACGGCACAGACUCCUACGGGAGGCAGCAGUAGGGAAUCUUGGGCAAUGGACGAAAGGCUGACCGAGCAAGGCCGCGUGAGUGAAGAAGGUUUUCGGAUUGUAAAAUUUUGUUGUUAGGGAAGCGGUAUCUAACGAGAAAGCAACGGCUAACUACGUGCCAGCAGCCGCGGUAAUUC